rnacentral:rRNA from 1 species
CAGCAGUGAGGAAUAUUGGUCAAUGGACGAGAGUCUGAACCAGCCAAGUAGCGUGCAGGAUGACGGCCCUAUGGGUUGUAAACUGCUUUUAUAGGGGGAUAAAGUGUGCCACGUGUGGCAUAUUGCAGGUACCCUAUGAAUAAGGACCGGCUAAUUCCGUGCCAGCAGCCGCGGUAAUACGGAAGGUCCGGGCGUUAUCCGGAUUUAUUGGGUUUAAAGGGAGCGUAGGCCGUCUUAUAAGCGUGUUGUGAAAUGUCGGGGCUCAACCUGGGCAUUGCAGCGCGAACUGUGAGACUUGAGUGCGCAGGAAGUAGGCGGAAUUCGUCGUGUAGCGGUGAAAUGCUUAGAUAUGACGAAGAACUCCGAUUGCGAAGGCAGCCUGCUGUAGCGCAACUGACGCUGAAGCUCGAAAGCGUGGGUAUCGAACAGGAUUAGAUACCCUGGUAGUCCACGCGGUAAACGAUGGAUGCUCGCUGUUUGCGUCUGACGUAAGCGGCCAAGCGAAAGCGUUAAGCAUCCCACCUGGGGAGUACGCCGGCAACGGUGAAACUCAAAGGAAUUGACGGGGGCCCGCACAAGCGGAGGAACAUGUGGUUUAAUUCGAUGAUACGCGAGGAACCUUACCCGGGCUUGAACUGCAGCGGACGGAUACAGAGAUGUUGACUCCCUUCGGGGCCGCUGUGGAGGUGCUGCAUGGUUGUCGUCAGCUCGUGCCGUGAGGUGUCGGCUUAAGUGCCAUAACGAGCGCAACCCUUGUUCGUAGUUGCCAUCGGGUGAUGCCGGGCACUCUGCGAAGACUGCCUCCGUAAGGAGUGAGGAAGGUGGGGAUGACGUCAAAUCAGCACGGCCCUUACGUCCGGGGCUACACACGUGUUACAAUGGCAUGUACAGAAAGCGGGGUGUAUGCAAAUACGCUCGAAUCCCUAAAACAUGUCUCAGUUCGGACUGGGGUCUGCAACCCGACCCCACGAAGCUGGAUUCGCUAGUAAUCGCGCAUCAGCCAUGGCGCGGUGAAUACGUUCCCGGGCCUUGUACACACCGCCCGUCAAGCCAUG